UGAUUUUGGCUCAUGUCAUGAUUCCAGGAUCAUGGGAUUGAUCCCCACAUGGGGCCUGGGAAUCCUGCUUGGGAUUCUCUCUC